ACCAGUGUGGCAUAGUGGUUUGUGUGUUGGACUGCAACUCUGGGAGACCAGGGUUCAAAUCCCCACUCAGCCA